rnacentral:rRNA from 1 species
GAUGAACGCUGGCGGCGUGCCUAAUACAUGCAAGUCGAGCGAACGGACGAGAAGCUUGCUUCUCUGAUGUUAGCGGCGGACGGGUGAGUAACACGUGGAUAACCUACCUAUAAGACUGGGAUAACUUCGGGAAACCGGAGCUAAUACCGGAUAAUAUUUUGAACCGCAUGGUUCAAAAGUGAAAGACGGUCUUGCUGUCACUUAUAGAUGGAUCCGCGCUGCAUUAGCUAGUUGGUAAGGUAACGGCUUACCAAGGCAACGAUGCAUAGCCGACCUGAGAGGGUGAUCGGCCACACUGGAACUGAGACACGGUCCAGACUCCUACGGGAGGCAGCAGUAGGGAAUCUUCCGCAAUGGGCGAAAGCCUGACGGAGCAACGCCGCGUGAGUGAUGAAGGUCUUCGGAUCGUAAAACUCUGUUAUUAGGGAAGAACAUAUGUGUAAGUAACUGUGCACAUCUUGACGGUACCUAAUCAGAAAGCCACGGCUAACUACGUGCCAGCAGCCGCGGUAAUACGUAGGUGGCAAGCGUUAUCCGGAAUUAUUGGGCGUAAAGCGCGCGUAGGCGGUUUUUUAAGUCUGAUGUGAAAGCCCACGGCUCAACCGUGGAGGGUCAUUGGAAACUGGAAAACUUGAGUGCAGAAGGGGAAAGUGGAAUUCCAUGUGUAGCGGUGAAAUGCGCAGAGAUAUGGAGGAACACCAGUGGCGAAGGCGACUUUCUGGUCUGUAACUGACGCUGAUGUGCGAAAGCGUGGGGAUCAAACAGGAUUAGAUACCCUGGUAGUCCACGCCGUAAACGAUGAGUGCUAAGUGUUAGGGGGUUUCCGCCCCUUAGUGCUGCAGCUAACGCAUUAAGCACUCCGCCUGGGGAGUACGACCGCAAGGUUGAAACUCAAAGGAAUUGACGGGGACCCGCACAAGCGGUGGAGCAUGUGGUUUAAUUCGAAGCAACGCGAAGAACCUUACCAAAUCUUGACAUCCUUUGACAACUCUAGAGAUAGAGCCUUCCCCUUCGGGGGACAAAGUGACAGGUGGUGCAUGGUUGUCGUCAGCUCGUGUCGCGAGAUGUUGGGUUAAGUCCCGCAACGAGCGCAACCCUUAAGCUUAGUUGCCAUCAUUAAGUUGGGCACUCUAAGUUGACUGCCGGUGACAAACCGGAGGAAGGUGGGGAUGACGUCAAAUCAUCAUGCCCCUUAUGAUUUGGGCUACACACGUGCUACAAUGGACAAUACAAAGGGCAGCGAAACCGCGAGGUCAAGCAAAUCCCAUAAAGUUGUUCUCAGUUCGGAUUGUAGUCUGCAACUCGACUACAUGAAGCUGGAAUCGCUAGUAAUCGUAGAUCAGCAUGCUACGGUGAAUACGUUCCCGGGUCU